rnacentral:rRNA from 1 species
GCAUAUCAAUAAGCGGAGGAAAAGAAACCAACCGGGAUUACCCUAGUAACGGCGAGUGAAGCGGUAAGAGCUCAAAUUUGAAAGCUGGCCCCUUCGGGGUCCGCAUUGUAAUUUGCAGAGGAUGCUUCGGGAGCGGUCCCCAUCUAAGUGCCCUGGAACGGGCCGUCAUAGAGGGUGAGAAUCCCGUAUGGGAUGGGGUGCCCGCGCCCGUGUGAAGCUCCUUCGACGAGUCGAGUUGUUUGGGAAUGCAGCUCUAAUUGGGUGGUAAAUUUCAUCUAAAGCUAAAUAUUGGCCGGAGACCGAUAGCGCACAAGUAGAGUGAUCGAAAGAUGAAAAGCACUUUGAAAAGAGAGUUAAAAAGCACGUGAAAUUGUUGAAAGGGAAGCGCUUGCGAUCAGACUCGCUCGCGGGGUUCAGCCGGCCUUCGGGCCGGUGUACUUCCCCGCGGGCGGGCCAGCGUCGGUUUGGGCGGCCGGUCAAAGGCCCCUGGAAUGUAACGCCUCUCGGGGCGUCUUAUAGCCAGGGGUGCCAUGCGGCCUGCCCGGACCGAGGAACGCGCUUCGGCUCGGACGCUGGCAUAAUGGUCGUAAGCGACCCGUCUUGAAACACGGACCAAGGAGUCUAACAUCUACGCGAGUGUUCGGGUGUCAAACCCGUGCGCGCAGUGAAAGCGAACGGAGGUGGGAACCCUUUGGGUGCACCAUCGACCGAUCCUGAUGUCUUCGGAUGGAUUUGAGUAAGAGCGUAGCUGUUGGGACCCGAAAGAUGGUGAACUAUGCCUGAAUAGGGCGAAGCCAGAGGAAACUCUGGUGGAGGCUCGCAGCGGUUCUGACGUGCAAAUCGAUCGUCAAAUUUGGGGUAUAGGGGGCGAAAGACUAAUCGAACCAUCUAGUAGCUGGUUCCUGCG